rnacentral:rRNA from 1 species
GAUGAACGCUGGCGGCGUGCCUAAUACAUGCAAGUCGAGCGAACGGACGAGAAGCUUGCUUCUCUGAUGUUAGCGGCGGACGGGUGAGUAACACGUGGAUAACCUACCUAUAAGACUGGGAUAACUUCGGGAAACCGUAGCUAAUACCGGAUAAUAUUUUGAACCGCAUGGUUCAAAAGUGAAGGACGGUCUUGCUGUCACUUAUAGAUGGAUCCGCGCUGCAUUAGCUAGUUGGUAAGGUAACGGCUUACCAAGGCAACGAUGCAUAGCCGACCUGAGGGGGUGAUCGGCCACACUGGAACUGAGACACGGUCCAGACUCCUACGGGAGGCAGCAGUAGGGAAUCUUCCGCAAUGGGCGAAAGCCUGACGGAGCAACGCCGCGUGAGUGAUGAAGGUCUUCGGAUCGUAAAACUCUGUUAUUAGGGAAGAACAUAUGUGUAAGUAACUGUGCACAUCUUGACGGUACCUAAUCAGAAAGCCACGGCUAACUACGUG